rnacentral:lncRNA from 1 species
CCCCAGUGCAGACCCCUCAGCGCAAGAAAGCUCCCUCCACGGGCCUGUCCUGUCUUUUGCCCAGUCUGGACCCUCUCCCUGGAUCCCCUUUUCCUACCCCCAUCUUCCUUCACCUGGGGCACACACCUGCGGGGAGGCCGUGAUACUGCUCACACUUGGGCCCCAUUCCCGAGAAAGGGGUUCUGCCCUCCCCAGGGAUCGGCAGGUAGAGAAGCAGAAACUCUAGGGAUGGCUUUGCAGGGGUUUGAGGGGAUGGGGAAGGCGGGGCUGUUCUGGAACCUUCCACAUAAAAGACUCCGCAGAGCCACCAGGCAGUUUGUUUCUGAGCCUUGCAGCUGUCUUGGCCAUUUUCAUUUUUAUCUACUUAGGGUGGUCAGCAGGUCAUGGCAAGCAGGAGACGUGAUGCUAAUGACUCCGGCUCCACGUGGCGACCAUUCAGGAAAAAGCUGCAAUGUUCUCUCUGCCACAUUAAUCAGAGAAAACCCAUCAAGAGCUGUUGCACGGAGACAGCUUUCCUCCCAGUACCUGCCCUGCAUGCUAAUCACCACCCCUCCUGGCGGUGCGGGCACUGCCACCUCGUUCUUACGAUCCGGCUGGAGACCUUUGCCCUGCACCCCC